GGGUAUUUUGUGACAUUUCCGAUUGGCUGUCUUGUUGUUUCUAAUAAGUUGUUUCAUAGUUGGCAUGGUGAGUCGUAUACAUACUG
rnacentral:pre_miRNA from 1 species